rnacentral:lncRNA from 1 species
UACGGCAAUCACAGCUCCUUCAGCUGUCAUUCAUCGUUAUUAUACUGGAGCCAUGUUGAUGUGGUGGUAAGGUACACAAGGGAAAUACAAAUCAUUCUAUAAUUCUAUUAUUAAAGCUCAGGCGUGAGCCACCGCAGGAGUUUCUCACUCUUAUGCUGGUCCACACCCAGCCUUUAGCCAUUCAUCAGUUACCAUGUAAGUAUUCCUGCCAGUGUAUGACUGCUCCAGGUAAACUGACCUCAUCUGUGAUUCUCCUUAUUCUCCUGUCUCUCUGGAUUUUGAGGUGAUGCUUUGCCCUGCAACCUCAACUCUCUCAUGGGUCCAAGAAAAAUUAUUAAAGUCAUUGAUUUUCAGUUUUUCAGCUUUCUUACUGAAAGGACGUGAGUGACAAAUUCUAAGCUCUUUGCAUGUCAGAAAUGAAACUGGAAUGUAUUUUUUUCAAAUAUAUAUGUAAUUAUAUAUAAUUAGUCUCUUCUAAUUGGAAUAAAUGUCAUAAUGCUAAUGCUUUUCGGUCACCAUUAUAGUAAUCCUAAACCUAAAAUACCUUGUCAAGAGUUUGAUGUGAUUUCUAA